UACAGAGGGGGCAAGCGUUGUUCGGAAUUACUGGGCGUAAAGGGCGUGUAGGCGGCCUGCUAAGUCGAACGUGAAAUCCCUGGGCUCAACCCAGGAACUGCGUCCGAUACUGGUUGGCUUGAAUCCGGGAGAGGGAUGUGGAAUUCCAGGUGUAGCGGUGAAAUGCGUAGAUAUCUGGAGGAACACCGGUGGCGAAGGCGGCAUCCUGGACCAACACUGACGCUGAGGAGCGAAAGCCAGGGGAGCAAACGGG
rnacentral:rRNA from 1 species